AGAGCGAACGCUGGCGGCAGGCCUAACACAUGCAAGUCGAGCGCGUGUAGCAAUACACGAGCGGCAGACGGGAGAGUAACACGUGGGAACGCGCCCUUUGGUUCGGAAUAACUCAGGGAAACUUGAGCUAAUACCGGAUAAGCCCUUACGGGGAAAGAUUUAUCGCCAAAGGAACGGCCCGCGUCCGAUUAGCUAGUUGGUGAGGUAACGGCUCACCAAGGCGACGAUCGGUAGCUGGUCUAAGAGGAUGAUCAGCCUCACUGGGACUGAGACACGGCCCAGACUCCUACGGGAGGCAGCAGUGGGGAAUAUUGGACAAUGGGCGCAAGCCUGAUCCAGCCAUGCCGCGUGGAUGAUGAAGGCCUUAGGGUUGUAAAGUCCUUUUAACGGGGAAGAUAAUGACGGUACCCGUAGAAUAAGCCCCGGCUAACUUCGUGCCAGCAGCCGC
rnacentral:rRNA from 1 species